rnacentral:tRNA from 1 species
UGCUUGGGUAGCUCAGUUGGUAGAGCACUUGCCCCUGAAAGGCAAAGGUCCCGAGUUCAAGUCUCGGCCCGGCAC